AUUCAAACAGAACAUAUAUUACACUGGAGGAAAACUUUGUCCAUAAGUCUUGGAGGUCCAGACUUUCAAGCCUUUUAUGUACUUGCCCUUAUAUUUACAUUGCCAUGCCAUAUUAAGCAAAGAACAAGCUGCUGGAUGACAAUCAGUCAGGCUUCAAAAGUGGACACUCCACCGAGACUGCCCUGCUGUCUGUCACUGAGUCGCUGAGACAGGUGAAAGCUGAAUCCAGAUCAUCCGUCCUGAUACUACAGGACCUUUCUGCAGCCUUCGACACAGUCAACCAUCAGAUCAUACUAUCCACCCUCUCUUCCCUGGGCAUCACAGGAACUGUGCUUGACUGGUUUCAUUCCUAUCUCUCAGUGUUGCCGUUGGCAUCUGGUUGGUUGUUGCUGAUUCGACUGGGUGGGGCUUGUACUUCGGGUCCUCGGAAUCUCUCCAGGAAAGAAUCUGGUCUCUCCUCCUCCUCUAUCAGACUUCUGUGUGCCCAGUCUCUCAGAG